GCACUCGUAGUUCAGCCCGGAUAGAACGUCGGACUACGAAUCCGAAGGUCAGAGGUUCGAAUCCUCUCGGGUGCG
rnacentral:tRNA from 1 species